GUGGAUUUUGACGAGUCCCUAUCUCACCUUCUUCCCCUUUUGCCGGUUCUGAAUGCCUCUGUUUUGAAACCCUCUGUUCUUCCCUUGUUCUAGACUCGCUCUGCUCUCUCUCAUGAGCUGCAAUCUUUUCUUUAUCAGCACGAGCUUGUCUCUGCCUUUCAUUCUCAGUAUCAGUCUCUCUCUUGUCUCUUACUUUUUCAGCAAGAGACUCAAAUUGAGCAGCUAAUUCAUGGGUCUCAUCUGGCUUUCCACUUCCACCUUCAAAUUUCUGUCUCUCCUCCUCUCUUCCUGGAAGUUCACCUUUAGCAAUGCUGGUACCAUGCGCCUGUUUUCUCUCUCCACUUGCACCACUCCUCUGUUUCUCCUCUGUUUUCUCUGGAGGUGUAGCUUUCCCCUGCACUGCUAUGGCCUCAAAAUGGCUCGUUAACUG
rnacentral:misc_RNA from 1 species